GAUGAAGAACGUAGUGAAAUGCGAUAAGUAGUGUGAAUUGCAGAAUUCAGUGAAUCAUCGAAUCUUUGAACGCACAUUGCGCCCCUUGGUAUUCCAUGGGGCAUGCCUGUUCGAGCGUCAUUUGUACCUUCAAGCUUUGCUUGGUGUUGGGUGUUUGUCCCGAGGGACUCGCCUUAAAGUAAUUGGCAGCCAGUGUUUGGUUUUGAAGCGCAGCACAAGUCGCGAUUCAAGGCUACACGCCCGCUUCCACAAGCCUUUUUUCACUUUUGACCUCGGAUCAGGUAGGGAUACCCGCUGAACUUAAGCAUAUCAAUAAGCGGAGGA
rnacentral:misc_RNA from 1 species